rnacentral:rRNA from 1 species
UACGUAGGGUGCGAGCGUUGUCCGGAAUUAUUGGGCGUAAAGAGCUUGUAGGCGGUUUGUCGCGUCUGCCGUGAAAAUCCGGGGCUCAACCCCGGACUUGCGGUGGGUACGGGCAGACUAGAGUGUGGUAGGGGAGACUGGAAUUCCUGGUGUAGCGGUGAAAUGCGCAGAUAUCAGGAGGAACACCGAUGGCGAAGGCAGGUCUCUGGGCCGAUACUGACGCUGAGGAGCGAAAGCGUGGGGAGCGAACAGG